rnacentral:lncRNA from 1 species
UUUAAGAAACCAAACCCUAGCUGCCUCUCUCCUAUCUCAUCACUCUUUGCCAAUCCUCUCUCCCUUUCCCAUAUUCUCUUUAGUAUCUUGUUUACUUCUUUUAUCACCUAAAGCGUGCCUCGUCUCUCCUUUUAUCUCGUAUAAUCAUGUCCUUUUCUGUUUUUCCUCAACGCCAUCAGAGUUAUCGCCAGUUGUGGUAAACUCUCUGUUCUUCAUUUUUUUUUUCUUUCCUUCCUUUCUCUUCCUUCUAGCUAAUCUCCAUUUAAUCUCUUCUUUUUUUUUCCUUCUCCUUUCUCUUCUUCAUUGACCAGAUCUCUUUCGAGCUGAGACUCCCUUUCUUUUUUUCCAUUACAUUCUUCUCUUUCUAGUCGAAACCAGAUACCCUUAACAAACUUUCAUUUUCAAAAUUUAAACUUUUGGUUUGAAUUUUUGGAAAUUGUAUUUUCACAGUUGAUUUUUAAAAAAAAAUUAAUUUAUGAAAUUUAUAAACCCCUCUCAUUUGGUUUAUUCUUUACAUCCUUUUGUUGGUUUGAAUCACUGAAAUUUGUCAUUAAGUAAGUGUUCUGGGUUGAUGAAUGAACAGGUUAAAGUGUUGGUUGAAAGGUGUUGUUCAAGGUAGAUGAAUUGGGUUCAAAUGACAAAGCAACCACUGCUCUAUAAAACGACAAAAAAAAAUUUCUGUCACUUACCACUUACGAUUGAAGGUUCAUUAACUUCCAUUAAAAGCGCAAAAGAAAAAGUCUCGGGAAUUCAAACUUCUUAGGUAUGGCAAAGUGACAAACAUUUUUUCAGGUCUAUUGUAAAGUGGCAAAUUGACUACUCAUGAAAGAUAAAUAUGCAUAAAAUUAUUUAUGCUUAUGCCAUGGUGGCUUGCUUGUGUUCUGGCUUUUGGGUUACAAUUUUUGAGUUUCUUUUUAAUGUAAUUUUCGUUUUUUUUUUAAUUUUUUAUGCAAGAAAAAAAAAUUACCGACUUGGCUUUUUUAUGUAAAAUGAUUAAAAAAUUUUCAACGUCUCCAAAAUAAAAUUUCAUGUCAUCGAUUUUAAUUGAAAAAAAUUUCAAAAAUGCCAUAUCAGAUUGGUCAAUACCAGCACAUUACAGCCAACACCCUCGACAACAAUAUUAAGUGCUUUCAUUUAAUUUCGUUUUCCAUUUGAACUCAAUUUAAUAAUUUCAUUUAAGGAUUCAAUUUUCAUCGAUUAAUGUGUAAGGAAAAAAAACCACCCUCCUAUAAUUUCCAAGCUGAGACCGCAAAUGCGAGGGAAUGAGUCACAAGACCCCACGCGCUGAAACUCAAAUUGCCAUUGGCUAGACUGCGCGAGAAAUCAUAGG